rnacentral:lncRNA from 1 species
ACAAACCGUGGGAGCUUGUUGAAUUGCUUGGUCUGCAUUAUAUCAUUGUUUGUACUUGUCGCAAUCAUGUAUUAACCUGACAAUAUUAUUAGUUUGUUAGUAUUUCCUGGUGAACCAUUGUCUCUUUAGAUGGUUAAUUUGUUGGAGUUGUUAGAACACUUACUUUAAGUAAGCAUAAUUAAUCUGAGAGGACUGAUGUGAAGCAUUUGGUUGAUGGAUAAACUGAGACUCUUAGGAAGGUCCAUGUAAAAAACCAUUUUUUUCAAUCCAAACAAUAGCCGAGACAUUUUUCCUACUGUAUUAUAAGACAUUUUUCCUACUAUAUUAUGAGACAUUUUUCCUGCCGUAUUGUGAGACAUUUUUUAAUUUAAAAAUAAAGGUUGUGCCAGUUGAAUUAUAUAAAUUUCAUCAUGAUACAACAUUAUUAUUCUUCGAAAUGUGUAUGAAAUUCCAUUUGUUAAUAGAGGCUCCACUUUUUCUGAUGUAUUUGGGGAUGUUUAGCUUAGACUGUUAGCCUAAAAUGUGUGUAAACUUGCUUAUCUUGGUUAAAAAAAAUUUUAAAUAAAAAGUUUAACCUUAAAGUAGUGAAAUGUGUUUCUUUAUUAUGCAUUAUAGCAUGACCCGAUCUGGACUCGAACCAGACCUGAUUUUUUAUGUUGGGAUCUGGUUAUACAUGGACCCAACCCGAAUAACCUAUUGGGUCGAAAAUUAUAGUCGUGGACAUGACCUGAUCUGACCCAAUCUUCUAUUGGAUUGGGUCUAGAUCUAACAUUAAGACUCGAACAAAAAGUCAGGUUAGAUCGGGGUCACUGAUGACCUAUCCGACCUGACCUAUUUGCACCCCUAGUCACCGUAAUACUAAUUGGCACAUCAAAUACAGAAAGAAAUAGAGGCAAAUAUCUAAACAGCUUUAUGAAAUAACUCCAAAUGGCUUCCUAAAAUAUUUUUUUGAAUUUUUCUACAUGGAGAAAAAAAUU